rnacentral:misc_RNA from 1 species
CUGCCCUCAAGCACGGCUUGUGUGUUGGGCUCCGUCCCCCGAUUCCGGGGGACGGGCCCGAAAGGCAGCGGCGGCACCGCGUCCGGUCCUCGAGCGUAUGGGGCUUUGUCACCCGCUCUGUAGGCCCGGCCGGCGCUUGCCGAUCAACCAAAUUUUUAUCCA